rnacentral:tRNA from 1 species
GCGGGAUUAGCUCAGUGGUAGAGCAUCGGAUUACCAAGCCGAGGGUCGCGGGUUCGAAUCCCGUUUCCCGCUCCA